rnacentral:piRNA from 1 species
UGAUUCAAUGCACUGAAGCAAGAUGUGU